AACGCACGAGACCUGCGGACCUGCGGAAGGAUCAUUAAUGAGAAGCUGCCCCUCGUGGGUAGACCUCCCACCCUCUGUGAACUUACCUUUGUUGCUUUGGCAGGCCCGUCCUCUGGACCGCCGGCUUCGGCUGGCCCGUGCCUGCCAGAGGAUUCCAAACCCUGUCUGUCAGUGUUGUCUGAGUCUAUAUGAAAUCGUUAAAACUUUUAGCAACGGAUCUCUAGAUCGGAAGAGCACACG
rnacentral:misc_RNA from 1 species